GUGGGGAAUAUUGGGCAAUGGGCGAAAGCCUGACCCAGCAACGCCGCGUGAAGGAAGAAGGUCUUCGGAUCGUAAACUUCUAUCCUUGGUGAAGAUAAUGACGGUAGCCGAGAAGGAAGCCCCGGCUAACUACGUGCCAGCAGCCGCGGUAAUACGUAGGGGGCAAGCGUUGUCCGGAAUGAUUGGGCGUAAAGGGCGCGUAGGCGGCCUGGUAAGUCUGGAGUGAAAGUACUGCUUUUAAGGUGGGAAUUGCUUUGGAUACUGUCGGGCUUGAGUGCAGGAGAGGUAAGUGGAAUUCCCGGUGUAGCGGUGAAAUGCGUAGAGAUCGGGAGGAACACCAGUGGCGAAGGCGACUUACUGGACUGUAACUGACGCUGAGGCGCGAAAGUGUGGGGAGCAAACAGGAUUAGAAACCCUUGUAGUCC
rnacentral:rRNA from 1 species